UACGGAGGGUGCAAGCGUUAUCCGGAUUCACUGGGCUUAAAGGGUGCGUAGGCGGGCAGUUAAGUCAGUGGUGAAAUCCUGGAGCUCAACUCCAGAACUGCCAUUGAUACUAUCUGGCUUGAAUAUUGUGGAGGUAAGCGGAAUAUGUCAUGUAGCGGUGAAAUGCUUAGAUAUGACAUAGAACACCUAUUGCGAAGGCAGCUUACUACGCAUAUAUUGACGCUGAGGCACGAAAGCGUGGGGAGCAAACAGG
rnacentral:rRNA from 1 species